GUUCUGGAGAAAAUCCGCUUGGUGUCGCUACCAUUCAUCGUGGCAACCUGGGAUCCAGCCUUAUGGGAAAUUUCUAGUGCGUGAACAUACCAUCCCCUCUUCUACCAUGAAGACAUCUUGUAAUGGUUCAUGUGGUGAGCAGCAAGUAGGCCAAAUGCAAACAGAAUGUAAAAAUCACUGCAUCCUCCAAUAAACUGCAUUGACAGCCAGCAACAAAAAGAAGGGUUCCUCAAGCUAAUAAAGCAUUAAAAUUUCCUAAAGUACUAACUAUUGGUCAACACCAGCGUUGUUUCUCUCAUACACCAUCGCCUGCUCGAAGUUGUCUUUACGUAGCUCAGGAUAAAUUCUCCGUGCACUGCUUGUCGACAAUGAAAACGCAGUUGAUGGAGAAUUCUUCGAUCUGGUAGUAGGAUGUGUCGGGGGUAGUAGCUCCAGUCGUCAGGAACGGGUUGGGUAAUUGGGUUGGCUCCAGCCAUGGGAAAGUGGGAGGGUUCCAGCCGUCGGAGGCUUCGGAGCGCUUCUAGCGGCGUGACGGCGCAAUAGCGCGGUUCUCCGUUGCUACGUGUACCUGCUGUCUGCUGCUGUGUGUUUCGUCACAUGCAGAAACACAUAAGAACUACUAAACUAUCACUAAAGUAAUUGUGUUGACACAAUCUAAGGGUUAUCCCGAAAACUAUUAGUGAGAGUACUCGAUGUACAAAAGAUUCAAUUUUGUUCCCGGUUAUUUCAAUGAAAUCGGAUCAAUAUAUUUCAAGUGUAUUGCAUGAAUGGUGAGAAAACCUAAAGGAGUUUCCUUAAUAAUUAAAGAGUUCUGCGGUACAACAAAACAAAACGGGUGAUAUUUUGGACAGAGAUGGGGGAAAUCAAGAGCACAGACAAAAUUGGCAGGAAGGAGGGACAAGUGAAGACGUUCUUAUUUUUUUAAUUAUAAAAUCAAGAAGGGAAGUCAAAUUUCAAAAAAAAAAAGAGCCAUCGCGCGAAAAAUAAAUUUGAUCCUAUGCAUUUCAAAUCUCUCUCGUUGUUACAUCAAGUAAGUUAAGUCUCUAGCGCCACUUUCGCAAUUUGAAUCUACUUUCUAAAAAUAUUUCCAUUGAGACGAAUAUAGGGUUGCUUGCCAUAAUUCUCUUGUUUUGUUCCUCUCAAUCUCUCUCCUACACGUCUUUUGAUACAACAAACUUUUUCUGCCUUCUCCGCGUAUAUUUGUUAUGAACCAAUCCUGCAAGUUAAGGUAUAGAUCAGUUGGUUUUGCAAUUCACAACAAAGAAGAAGGAGGAAUAAAGAGACAUACGACUGCAUCGAAUCGAGAGAUGUACAGGGAAAAAAAGAGGGGGAAAAAUUCUUCGAGUCCAGAGGUUCGCUAGUCGCCGAAGAAAGCUUUGAAAAAUAAGGAACAAAAUAAAACAAAACAGAAAAAAAAGAAUGCAAUAGAGAUCGGCCUUAGCGCCAGGAUCCGACUGACUCCAUGUCUUGAUUGGCACGUUAAACAAUCGUCCACCGUGUUAAUUAUUGAUUUUUCGUUUCUUUCAAUACAUCUUCACAACUGGGAGGGUAGGGUAUGGGGUGUGUGG